rnacentral:rRNA from 1 species
AGAGUUUGAUCCUGGCUCAGGAUGAACGCUGGCGGCGUGCCUAACACAUGCAAGUCGUACGAGCUCGAUCUUCGGAACGGGUUAGUGGCGCACGGGUGAGUAACACGUAGGUGACCUACCCCAGAGUGGGGGGAUAACUUCUCGAAAGAGAGGCUAAUACCGCAUACACUCGGUCAUUCAUUUGGCCGAGCAAAGCUCCGGCGCUUUGGGACGGGCCUGCGUCCGAUUAGCUAGUUGGUAGGGUAAUGGCUUACCAAGGCUUUGAUCGGUAGCUGGUCUGAGAGGACGAUCAGCCACACUGGCACUGACACACGGGCCAGACUCCUACGGGAGGCAGCAGUGAGGAAUAUUGGGCAAUGGGCGAAAGCCUGACCCAGCAACGCCGCGUGAGGGAUGAAGGCCCUCGGGUUGUAAACUGCUUUUGUACGGAACGAAAAGACACUGGCUAAUACCUGGUGUUGAUGACGGUACCGUAAGAAUAAGCACCGGCUAACUACGUG